rnacentral:rRNA from 14 species
UUUGAGAGUUUGAUCCUGGCUCAGAACGAACGCUGGCGGCAGGCUUAA